UGUGUUCAAAUCGUCUUUAGUCGUUUUAUGCGAAUAUCGUGUUUGUCACACGUGUUUGCUUCUGCCUUUCCUUCCAGUUUCUUCCUUAUCCAAACCUUCUCUUCUCUUUCAUCCUUGUCAACACGCAGACACAAUAGAUCGACCGGAGGGGUUUUCCCGUGGGAAACAAAGGCGACUAGAUACCGCCACCACCGUCCGAGUUCGAGUCCAUGGUACCAUCACAAACCCAAGUACGGUUUAGUGAAUGUUGCAACCUGGGUUGUGUUAACAUUGAUCCACAUUCCACCGCCUUACUGCCUAUCUUCUCGAUUAUUCCUGUUUUUUUUUUCUGCUUCACCCCGCUCUUCCUCAUCCGUUCUCUGUUGAUAUCGCCACCGCCAAGGAUUCACCGAAUCCACCGGUUCAAUGCCUGCGAUGUAUUUGGUGACGCCGCAAGAAUCGAUCAUGUGGGCGUGCCGAUGUGGAGGCGAUGCAAGCAGGUUAGUCGACGGACCUUUUAAUAUACCUCUGACUGUAAUCUUUUGGACCCGAAGUCUUUUUCGAGCCGAGUAAUUUUCACCUGUCCGGUGUGGCUUCUGUGCAACGGAGGUGAUUAGGUCAGUGCAAGCAUGAGCAAUGAACCCUAAACCCACCAAUGUUUCUCUUUCUCCAAUUCCCCCGUCUUUCCCAUAUUUAGGAUUUUAAUUUCUUCUUGGUUUUUUAUUAGGGAUUUAUGGUUCCUGAGGACACCUUCAUUGUUUCCUCAAAUUCUUGCCAUCAGGUUAAGAUUUAACAUAAGCUUUCAAUAACGUUGUCUCUUCAUGCCCUCUUCGUUUAUCAGUGACCACCGCACACCAACUAAACCUUGGUGCAACUGUGUUACUGUGAUGUCGUGUGCUGGAAAACGACCGUUGCUUUCUCUUAUUCAUCACUCCUAUGACAAAAAUGUUGUUAGGCCUUUCCUAUUCAACUGAAUUUUAUAUUCCCCAUUCCAAUUUUGGAGACACCUGCUCUAUGAAAAAGAAACUAAUUUGUCCGUUAUUAGAUACUUUUUUUGGUUCAAAGUUGGCAGGUUCAAAGAUGCACACCAACUGCUUGAUGAAAUGACUGAAAGAAUCGAUAUCUUCAAACAUAAGUUGGUGGUUCGUUUCUUGAAAUGGGAGAUUUGUAGACCAUUGAUUCAAGUUUAUAGUGAUUUGAAGUCAAACAGCUAUGUUAUUUUUUGAAUAUGAGGAACCAUCAGAAAAAUCUUUUGAUGUCAAUUUUUUAUCAAGGGAAAUCAAAUUUAUCAGGUCUUGAUGUCGUUUUCCUCAGGUUUGCAUUUAACAACCUACAAAAACAUUUUUUUUAGUUUUUUUUUCCUCCAUAGAAUACAAUUAUUAACUGUAAACUGCAUUACAUGUUUGCAAAUUUCGGUGCACUUGAGCAGCAUGGAUCUACAAGGAAUACAUUUUGACUAAAAUGCCACUAUAUACUAUUCUUUUAGUAAAAAAAAAAGAGAAUGAUUUUAACAUUUUUUUUGUCUAAAAUGCACCUGCGUACUGUUUUUUUUUGAUAAAAAGAAUAAUGAUUUCAACAGCUUUUACCAAACUGCCCUUGCAUACUGUUUUUUUGGUAAAAAAAUAGUUAUUGUAAGAGUUUUUUGGGUAAAAAUUUAAUGAUUUCAUAGUUUUUUACCAAACUACCAAUGCAUACAAUUUUUAUUGGUAAAAGUUACUGACUUCAAGAGUUUUUGACGAAAAUUUCCUGUGUAUACUGUUUAACAAGUUUGACCCUAUCUGUUGUAUUCCGGUUAAUAUUGAAUGUCAUUUUCGGAAGUUUAUUGCUUGUAAGACCAUUUACUGCUGGAAAUAUGUCAAAUUUUUUA